AUCUAAAAUCUUGCUUUCGAAAACCAUGUAAAGAGAUAAUAAGAGUUAAACAAUUAUAAAAAUAAUUUAUAAAAAAUAAGGUUGAAGUAAAGUUUAAUGAAACAACACACUAAAAAGCUAUAGUAAAAAGUACUGUAAAGGAAAGACGAAAUAAAAUGAAAAAGUUAAAAUAAUUAUAAGCAAUUCUAAAUUAUUGUACCUUGUGUAUCAGGGAAAAUCAAAUUAUAUUCACUAUCAAGAUAAAUCCCGAAAAAAGAAGAGCUAAUAUAACAAAAACUUACCGUAUUAAAGGCAUUUUUAAUGUUAUUUUAGCAAUGAAACGUUAAUCGAUUCUUUAUAUCUGGUUAUAAGUGAAUUAAAUUCAAUUUUAUAGUAUUAGUAAAACUACGAUACUGUAAAGAAAAGGAGGGAAAGCUUCUUUUUCUAUAAAUAAUUUUAUUGAGUUUACAUACUAAAUAAUGGCUAUUUAAAUUUUAAAGUUAGGCUUAGAAUCAGCCAUACUAAUAAAGCGUUUUAGUUAAUAAAGCAUUAAAUUAAUAUUUAUAUAUUGUAAAACCUAUAUCAGUAACUUAGAACUUAGCAAAUCAAUUUUGUUAACUGUUAAAAUGAUGUUAUUAGUAGAUAAUUUAUUGUGUAAAAAACAAACUUAAAAUGACAAAAAUGCUAUAAACAUUAUACACUCCAAUUGUACAGUUAAGGAACUCGGCAAAUAUAACUUUUGCCUGUUUAUCAAAAACAUGUCUGUACGAAGGUAUGUAAAGUCUGGCCUGCCCACUGAUAUAACGUUUAAAGGGCCGCGGUAUUUUGACCGUGCGAAGGUAGCAUAAUCAUUAGUCUUUUAAUUGAAGGCUCGUAUGAAUGGUCGGACAAAAAGUAAGCUGUCUUCAACUGUAAAAAUUGAACUUGACUUUUAAGUGAAAAGGCUUAAAUAAUACAAAGUGACGAUAAGACCCUAUAAAGCUUUACAGUGUAAAUUUUUCACUAUAAAUUAUAAAAAUCGUAAAACUUAGUUUAAAAUAAAACUGUUUCGUUGGGGCGACGAAAAUAUAACAAAAUAACUGUUUUUACUCAAGUAAAACAAAUAUACUUGGUUUUAAUUAAUGAUCCUUUAUUAAAGAUUAAAAGAUUAAGUUACUUUAGGGAUAACAGCGUAAUCUUCUUUGAGAGUUCAUAUCGACAAGAAGGCUUGCGACCUCGAUGUUGAAUUAAGGUUCCUGCAUGGUGUAGCAGCUAUGAGUCGGAGGUCUGUUCGACCUUUAAAUCCUUACAUGAUUUGAGUUCAGACCGGCGUAAGCCAGGUCGGUUUCUAUCUUUUGUGUUGUAUAAAACUGCUCUAGUACGAAAGGAUUGAGUAGUUGAAAUAAUUUUAAAUUAAGAUUAAUACUAACUUUACUAUUGCCUUGGCAGAAUUAUGCACU
rnacentral:rRNA from 1 species